GCAAAACAUGAAAAAUGCCUCCACUGGCAUAAUCGAACAGCUGCAACUAUAUUAGCAGCAUUAUCACUAACAAUCAUAGUGAUUUUAUUGUCUAAUCCCCAUUUAUUCACCUGCUCUUUAAGAAGAGAAGACAUUUAAACAGCUGUGUGUUUGGCUGUGAAAUGUUGACAACCAAUCAGAAUUGAUGACAUUUUCGUAUCAUCAUCGAUAUAAUGUGCAGUAACAGCUACUACUUUCAUAUAACUGAGGCAAAAGGCUAUUGGAUACUGAUUUUCUACUGGGAAGAACAUAACCUGGUGCCAACAUCUGUAUUAAAUUUUUAAAUUCUUUUUCUUCUACGAGACUAAAAGGAUGGAAUUUAUGGAAGUCUGAACGGGUCUAAUAUUGGUUGGUGUUACUGAUGUCAAAAUUUGUGUGGAAGUAUUUGAUGCUGGCAUUCCCGAAGUAGAUGGUUCAUCUAUAUUAUGUUCCUCAAUAUGCUCAGUCAUGGUAU